GCGGCCUCUCGACGUCGUGGCCGCAGAGGAGGUUGAGGCAGCGGCCGGAGGCGCAGAGGCCGCUGGCCCAACGGGGCACCUGGGGAGGGGGGGUGAGCGGGAACCCGCCCCGUUCCCCCCCCUGGUUCUCACCCGGACGUGCAGCCAGACGAAGGCAGCGCUGCCCCGGGGCCACCCUGGCAGCCUCCCGCCGGCCCCGGAGCCGCAGCCCAGCAGCUCGGAGCCACCCAGUAGCAGGGAAUGGGUCAGGCCGCACCAGAAGGAGCGCGGGCAGCGCGGGGCCGGCACCUGCGGGACACCGGGAGGGCCCCGGGGACCGGUGGGGACACCGGGAGGGCACCGGGGACCGGUGCUGAGCCUCACCUGCGUGAGCGCCUUGGGCCGCAGCCAGUCACCGGUGCCCAGCUGCCCGUAGCGGUUGCAGCCUUGCAUGAAGAGGCGCCCGAAUUCGUCCAGCAGCCCCAGGUGGUUGCGGCCCGGGGCGCAGCUCAGCACCUGGGGGACGGCGGCAGUGGCACCGCGCGCGGGGACACGUCCCUGUCCCCAAGUGUCCCCUGUCCCUUACCUUCGUCGGCAGCGCCAGGGCUGCGGGGAGGCCGUGGCGCCGGGUGCCCUCCAGGAUCACGUUUCCUGAGCCUGUCGGGAGAGGCAGGUGACGGCGAGGCUCCGGGAAGCACUUUUGGGGUGAAUCCUGAGGAUUUCAGGGGCGUACCAGUGAGGUACGCCCCCCCCCUCACUCCCUUCUCCCUGCCCCACAAGCCCUCCCCCGGCUGCCUCACCGUCCCCUCCUCAGGGCUGGCGGCGCGGCACCGGGCGGCCCCCUCGGCCACGGCGGCCCCGUGUGAGGCUUGGUGGGGACGGAGCUGGCAUGGCGGCGGGGUUCCAGCGCCCCGGAGCGGGGCUCCAAAACCGGGGCGGCACAGGGGGAGCUCCCGCCACGGCCGGGGGUUGCCUGCCCCCCGGUCUGAGCCCGCUCGCUGGGAGCAGCCUUCUUUUGGCACUGUCUUUCGUGGCUAUUGGGCGGGAGGGCUGUCAAUCUCCUCGCUUCCUCGCUGGGAUUGGCUGCUGGGGGGGGUCAGUCAGCCCUCUGGUGGUGUCCCGCCCUCCCCUGAGGCGAUGCGCCUUCUGAUUGGCUGCUGGGGUUGUCAGUCUGCUCGUGGUGCAGGUCCCGCCCUCCCCUCAAGCACUGCUCACUCUGAUUGGUCAGUAUGGGGGAGGCAGUGCCCGCCCUCCCCUGAGGCGCUGCCCUCUCUGAUUGGCUCUCCGAGCUGUCAUUCUGGCCACCCACCUGCGGUGUCUCCUGCUGAUAGGCCAGGCAGCUCCUCCGCGCCCUGUGAUUGGCGGAGCCGCCCCGCCCCGCCCCGACGCCCCGCCCCGUUCGGCUCCCGCCGCCACUUCUGCAGCCCUCCGGCCUCGAAGCUCGAGUGGUUGGCUGCCGUGUCAAUCAAGCGCGUCGCACCGCCUCCUCGGAGGGGGUUGGGCUUCCUGGUGGGCGCCACCCCCGCUGGCUUCUGGUAGGCGGUUGCCUGGCGACUAGCUCCGCCCUCCUGGCCCCGAUUGGUGGAAAUCAACAAACCUCCGUUCCCUCCCUGCUUCAGGAUUGGCUGCAGGCGGGCAUUGCCCCGCCCUCCUCGUUUACCAUUGGUCUAUCCCCCUGCUCGUCAGGCACCAACGCUCGCUUCCGCUUUUCUUCCGCGUGCGAAGGGAGGGCCUUCGGCGGCGAGGCCCCGCCCCCCCNNNNNNNNNNNNNNNNNNNNNNNNNNNNNNNNNNNNNNNNNNNNNNNNNNNN
rnacentral:lncRNA from 1 species